rnacentral:rRNA from 1 species
AAAGGGUGCGUAGGCGGUUUGGCAAGUCUUGUGUGAAAUCUUCGGGCUCAACCCGAAGCCUGCACGAGAAACUACCGGGCUUGAGUGAUGGAGAGGUGAGUGGAAUUUCCGGUGUAGCGGUGAAAUGCGUAGAUAUCGGAAGGAACACCUGUGGCGAAAGCGGCUCACUGGACAUUAACUGACGCUGAUGCACGAAAGCUAGGGGAGCAAACAGGAUUAGAUACCCGUGU